rnacentral:sRNA from 1 species
GACAGUUUGGCCGAGUGG